rnacentral:rRNA from 1 species
GGACGAACGCUGGCGGCGUGCCUAAUACAUGCAAGUCGAGCGGACUAAAAGGGGCUUGCUCCUUUUAGUUAGCGGCGGACGGGUGAGUAACACGUGGGCAACCUGCCCGUAAGAUCGGGAUAACUUCGGGAAACCGGAGCUAAUACCGGAUAACACCGAAGACCGCAUGGUCUUUGGUUGAAAGGCGGCUUUGGCUGUCACUUACGGAUGGGCCCGCGGCGCAUUAGCUAGUUGGUGAGGUAACGGCUCACCAAGGCGACGAUGCGUAGCCGACCUGAGAGGGUGAUCGGCCACACUGGGACUGAGACACGGCCCAGACUCCUACGGGAGGCAGCAGUAGGGAAUCUUCCGCAAUGGACGAAAGUCUGACGGAGCAACGCCGCGUGAGCGAAGAAGGUCUUCUGAUUGUAAAGCUCUGUUGUUAGGGAAGAACAAGUACCGUUCGAAUAGGGCGGUACCGUGACGGUACCUAACGAGAAAGCCACGGCUAACUACGUGCCAGCAGCCGCGGUAAUACGUAGGUGGCAAGCGUUGUCCGAAU